rnacentral:lncRNA from 1 species
AUUGGAGGAAAUUUUAAUAUUUUUGAAAGUGUAUUUUGUAAGAAAACUAGAUUUUUAUUUUUGAGUCGACCCCAUGAGUCGACUCAUGGCUUAAAGGGCUGAACGGCACGCUGAAAUUUUGGUUGGCACUCUCUGUGAGUCGACCCCAUGGGUCAAUCCCUUGGCAUGAGUCGACCCUAUGAGUCGACCUCUGCUGCUUUGCAGGUCAAAAUUACAGAAC